GAAAAUCGCUAGAAUCACAGUGCCCUGGGAGGACAGUUGAACACUUUUGCAGGUCACACUGUGAGUCGGUGUCAGAGGUGGAGUCAGACCUGGUCUUCUUCCCACAUGGAAGCCUUUUCUCUUACUGUGGUGUCAUUCCAAUGAGAAAUGAAACAGCCUGCAGAGUGAGGUUUGACCACCUCUCCUGGUCUUACAUGAUUUGCAAUGCCACAGGCAAAGCUUCAAUCCUAUCUUUUUCAUGCCCCUACUUUUCUCACUCUCCUUCAAGACUCUCUUGCUCAGUAUGAACAGUGGGAACAACAGUGAAUAAAAACCAACAGCUCCUGACCUCAGGUGAUGACAUGGCUCUGAAUAUCAGCAGAGGAUGAAUUUGAGCCCUCCUUCCUGUGCAGAUCACACGUGGUUAGACUUUGUGGUUAAUGCUCAGUGACAGGGUAAUGACGGUCAUAUUUUCUUAAUGUUCUCUGUUGCUUUCUGAACAGGAUCUGGAAGCAAGUAUCCAGGGAGAGGGAAAUAUGAUACUCCCAUUUCAACGGGAUUUCAGCUGGAGAGCAGCAAACACAGCCGGGCGUCGUGAUGGGCUGAGAUAUCCAAGCCGAGUUUAUCAGAAAUAUCCUCUUGGAGCAGAGAGCAAAGGUGCUGAUAACCAAAUAGGAUGCUGUUCUUGCUGUGUAGGCAUACUAGCCUUGGAAAUGAAUACACUGUGGUAACCUAGGAAAUGAAGACAAAAGAGAAGAAAAUUAAAAUGUCCUGCAGGCUGGGUGAGGUGGCUCACACCUGUAAUCUCAGCACCGUGGGAGUCCAAAGCAGGAUUGCUCAAGACCAGAAGUUCAAGACUAGCCUGGACAACAUAGGAUCUCGUCUCUACAACAACAACUUAGCCAGGUGUGGUGGCAUAUGCCUGUAGUCCUACUGACUUGGGAAGCUGAGGGAGAAGGAUCACUUGAGCCCGGGAGUUUGAGGUUGCAGUGAGCUAUGAUGACUCCACUAAACUCCAGCCUGAGUAACAGAGUGAGACAACAUCUCAAAAUUAAAAUAAAACAAAAACAAAAAACUCCUGUAAUCUUGAGCAUUUAAAGUUGAUAACAUUUUUUAUAGCCCUUCAUCAUAUGUAUGUAUAUAUAUGCCACGUGUAUGUAUGGAGAUAUACACACACAGACACACGCAAGUUGUAUUCAACGGUGAUAGGGUUAAAUUUGCACCAUGAUGAUUCAGAAUCAUCUUUCUUUAAAAUGGUCAGAUAUAAACCAUUAACUGGAAAAUAAGCAAUAUAUAUAGAGGGAAAUUAUAGGUGUAGAGAUCUGUGGCUAUUAGACAUGUGUACACUCUCAAAAAUACGAUAGACAUAACUUAAUACUCUACAGUUUAACACAUUGUAACUUCCUAUAUUCCAUAUUCAUUUCUGAUGCCUGCUAUAUGACAUUGUGUGACUUGACCUGAACACGUCAAAGCUUAUCAUUUAUUAAUGAGGAAACUACUUAGCACCAAUGGUUCUCAAGGUUCAUUGUAUAUUUUUGUAUAUUUAAAUUACCUGGGAAGUUUUCAAAAACACUGAAGCCUGGAGCUCACCUCCAGGGACCCUGAUCAGAGAUGGAGUACAAGAGUAAGUUUUCUAAAAGCACCCCAAUGUGUUUCAAAUGUGCAGCCAGGAUUAUGAAUCACUGAGGAAGAUAUGCCAGUUUGACGUAAUAUGUGUUAGUGUGUCCAGAAUUGGUGGGUUCUUGGUCUCGCUGACUUCAAGAAUGAAGCUGGGGACCCUCGCGGUGAGUGUUACAGUUCUUAAAUAUGUCCGGAGU
rnacentral:lncRNA from 1 species